UAACAAACUAAAACUGAGGAAAGCAUAUUAAAUAUAAGAGGAGAACAACGACACAACACUACAAUGUAACACACACAGAAACGGACCAAGCAUCAGAAAAAAUCCCCCGAGAAUAACAAAUAUAACAUCAAAACCAAAUACGUGAAUUUGGGAUAGACAAGUACCGUGACACUUCUUAUCGCAAUGUGCAUUUACACUCAAAAAUAAGAGAAAACAAACGACGCAACGUUAAAAUGUAACACACACAGAAAC
rnacentral:lncRNA from 1 species